AUUCCAGCUCCAAUAGCGUAUAUUAAAGUUGUUGCAGUUAAAAAGCUCGUAGUUGGAUUUCUGUUCUCGAGGAUCGGUCCGCCUCACGGUGAGCACUGGUUUUUCUUGGGGACAUCCUCUCGAAGGCGGGUGGUGCACUUAAUUGUGUGCUGCUUGGAUUCGGGACCUUUACUUUGAAAAAAUUAGAGUGUUCGAAGCAGGCGUCGGCCUGAAUACAUUAGCAUGGAAUAAUGGAAUAGGACUUUGGUUCUAUUUUGUUGGUUUCUAGGACCGAAGUAAUGAUUAAUAGGGACAGUUGGGGGCAUUAGUAUUUAAUUGUCAGAGGUGAAAUUCUUGGAUUUAUGAAAGACUAACUACUGCGAAAGCAUUUGCCAAGGAUGUUUUCAUCA
rnacentral:rRNA from 1 species